CUUAAUUGGGCGUUAAGUUGCAGGGUAUAGACCCGAAACCCGGUGAUCUAGCCAUGGGCAGGUUGAAGGUUGGGUAACACUAACUGGAGGACCGAACCGACUAAUGUUGAAAAAUUAGCGGAUGACCUGUGGCUGGGGGUGAAAGGCCAAUCAAACCGGGAGAUAGCUGGUUCUCCCCGAAAGCUAUUUAGGUAGCGCCUCGUGAAUUCAUCUCCGGGGGUAGAGCACUGUUUCGGCUAGGGGGCCAUCCCGGCUUACCAACCCGAUGCAAACUGCGAAUACCGGAGAAUGUUAUCACGGGAGACACACGGCGGGUGCUAACGUCCGUCGUGAAGAGGGAAACAACCCAGACCGCCAGCUAAGGUCCCAAAGUCAUGGUUAAGUGGGAAACGAUGUGGGAAGGCCCAGACAGCCAGGAUGUUGGCUUAGAAGCAGCCAUCAUUUAAAGAAAGCGUAAUAGCUCACUGGUCGAGUCGGCCUGCGCGGAAGAUGUAACGGGGCUAAACCAUGCACCGAAGCUGCGGCAGCGACGCUGAUGCGUUGUUGGGUAGGGGAGCGUUCUGUAAGCCUGUGAAGGUGGCCUGUGAGGGUUGCUGGAGGUAUCAGAAGUGCGAAUGCUGACAUAAGUAACGAUAAAGCGGGUGAAAAGCCCGCUCGCCGGAAGACCAAGGGUUCCUGUCCAACGUUAAUCGGGGCAGGGUGAGUCGACCCCUAAGGCGAGGCCGAAAGGCGUAGUCGAUGGGAAACGGGUUAAUAUUCCCGUACUUGGUGUUACUGCGAAGGGGGGACGGAGAAGGCUAUGUUGGCCGGGCGACGGUUGUCCCGGUUUAAGCGUGUAGGUGUGUGUUCCAGGUAAAUCCGGUUCACUUUAACACUGAGGCGUGAUGACGAGGCACUACGGUGCUGAAGCAACAAAUGCCCUGCUUCCAGGAAAAGCCUCUAAGCAUCAGGUAACAUCAAAUCGUACCCCAAACCGACACAGGUGGUCAGGUAGAGAAUACCAAGGCGCUUGAGAGAACUCGGGUGAAGGAACUAGGCAAAAUGGUGCCGUAACUUCGGGAGAAGGCACGCUGACACGUAGGUGAAGUGAUUUACUCACGGAGCUGAAGUCAGUCGAAGAUACCAGCUGGCUGCAACUGUUUAUUAAAAACACAGCACUGUGCAAACACGAAAGUGGACGUAUACGGUGUGACGCCUGCCCGGUGCCGGAAGGUUAAUUGAUGGGGUCAGCGCAAGCGAAGCUCCUGAUCGAAGCCCCGGUAAACGGCGGCCGUAACUAUAACGGUCCUAAGGUAGCGAAAUUCCUUGUCGGGUAAGUUCCGACCUGCACGAAUGGCGUAAUGAUGGCCAGGCUGUCUCCACCCGAGACUCAGUGAAAUUGAACUCGCUGUGAAGAUGCAGUGUACCCGCGGCAAGACGGAAAGACCCCGUGAACCUUUACUAUAGCUUGACACUGAACAUUGAGCCUUGAUGUGUAGGAUAGGUGGGAGGCUUUGAAGCGUGGACGCCAGUCUGCGUGGAGCCGACCUUGAAAUACCACCCUUUAAUGUUUGAUGUUCUAACGUGGACCCGUGAUCCGGGUUGCGGACAGUGUCUGGUGGGUAGUUUGACUGGGGCGGUCUCCUCCUAAAGAGUAACGGAGGAGCACGAAGGUUGGCUAAUCCUGGUCGGACAUCAGGAGGUUAGUGCAAUGGCAUAAGCCAGCUUGACUGCGAGCGUGACGGCGCGAGCAGGUGCGAAAGCAGGUCAUAGUGAUCCGGUGGUUCUGAAUGGAAGGGCCAUCGCUCAACGGAUAAAAGGUACUCCGGGGAUAACAGGCUGAUACCGCCCAAGAGUUCAUAUCGACGGCGGUGUUUGGCACCUCGAUGUCGGCUCAUCACAUCCUGGGGCUGAAGUAGGUCCCAAGGGUAUGGCUGUUCGCCAUUUAAAGUGGUACGCGAGCUGGGUUUAGAACGUCGUGAGACAGUUCGGUCCCUAUCUGCCGUGGGCGCUGGAGAACUGAGGGGGGCUGCUCCUAGUACGAGAGGACCGGAGUGGACGCAUCACUGGUGUUCGGGUUGUCAUGCCAAUGGCACUGCCCGGUAGCUAAAUGCGGAAGAGAUAAGUGCUGAAAGCAUCUAAGCACGAAACUUGCCCCGAG
rnacentral:rRNA from 1 species